ensembl:ncRNA C10G11.13 ncRNA
AACAGACACUCCUCCUCCCCCGACCAUCUGUCCAUCUUAUGGGGGAGAACAGAUAAUUAUGGUGGACGGGAGAGGGUUGUUGGAAUGGAGAAGAGGUCCUUCUCAUAGCAAUGUGGUCGACACACCAC